AUUGAACGCUGGCGGCAGGCCUAACACAUGCAAGUCGAACGAGUGGCGGACGGGUGAGUAAUGUCUGGGAAACAGCCCGAUGGAGGGGGAUAACUACUGGAAACGGUAGCUAAUACCGCAUACCAUCGGAUGUGCCCAGAUGGGAUUAGCUAGUAGGUGGGGUAACGGCUCACCUAGGCGACGAUCCCUAGCUGGUCUGAGAGGAUGACCGGCCACACUGGAACUGAGACACGGUCCAGACUCCUACGUGAGGCAGCAGUGGGGAAUAUUCCACAAUGGGCGAAAGCCUGAUGCAGCAAUGCCGCGUGUAUGAGUAAGGCCUUCGGGUUGUAAAGUACUUUCAGCGAGGAGGCGUUACUCGCAGAAAAAGCACCGGCUAACUCCGUGCCAGCAGCCGCGGUAAUUC
rnacentral:rRNA from 1 species